rfam:Glossina fuscipes fuscipes unplaced genomic scaffold Scaffold175, whole genome shotgun sequence.
AUGUAACUUUGCGUUCAAUAAUCUUAUCUGGUAAAGCGAAUGAUUAGAGGCCUCAGGGUCGAAACGAUCUUAACCUUUUCUCAAACUUUAAAUAAGUAAGAACCUCACCUUUCUAGGCAUGAUUUUGGUAAGCAGAACUGGCGCUGUGGAAUGAACCGAACGUAAUGUUACGGUGCCCAAAUUAAUAACUCAUGCAGGUACUAUACCUACGGAUCGCAUUUUUUGAAAUGUGUUGAUAAAAGUGU